GUGCCCAGAACCCGAUCCCAUCUCGAACUCGGCCGUUAAACACGCCAGCGCCUAUGGUACUGUGUCUCAAGACACGGGAGAGUCGGUC
rnacentral:rRNA from 1 species